UAGCCAACCAAGUAUUAAAGGCGACGCCUGCCCAGUGAAAAAUUAAACGGCCGCGGUAUCCUAACCGUGCAAAGGUAGCACAAUCAUUUGUCUAUUAAUUGUAGACCUGUAUGAAAGGCAAAAUGAGAGCCCAACUGUCUCUUAUAACAAAUCAAUUAAACUGAUCUCCUAGUACAAAAGCUAGAAUACCAACAUAAGACCAGAAGACCCUGUGAAGCUUUAACUAACCUAUUAAACCCAAUAAUAGCUACUUUAGGUUGGGGCGACCUUGGAAUAAAAAAGAACUUCCAACCUAUGACUCUCUCAUAAAUAAGGCAAACAAGCCUAACACUUGACCCAGCACAGCUGAUAAUCGAAACAAGUUACUCCAGGGAUAACAGCGCUAUCUUCUUUAAGAGCCCAUAUCAAAAAGAAGGUUUACGACCUCGAUGUUGGAUCAGGACACCCCAGUAGUGCAACCGCUACUAAAGGUUCGUUUGUUCAACGAUUAAUAGUCCUACGUGAUCUGAGUUCAGACCGGAGCAAUCCAG
rnacentral:rRNA from 1 species